UACAGAGGUGGCAAGCGUUGUUCGGAAUUACUGGGCGUAAAGGGCGUGUAGGCGGCUUCUUAAGUCAGACGUGAAAUCCCCCGGCUUAACCUGGGAACUGCGUCUGAUACUGGGAAGCUAGAGUUCGGGAGAGGGAUGUAGAAUUCCAGGUGUAGCGGUGAAAUGCGUAGAUAUCUGGAGGAAUACCGGUGGCGAAGGCGGCAUCCUGGACCGAAACUGACGCUUAAGCGCGAAAGCUAGGGGAGCAAACAGG
rnacentral:rRNA from 1 species